UACAGAGGUCUCAAGCGUUGUUCGGAUUCAUUGGGCGUAAAGGGUGCGUAGGCGGCGCGGUAAGUCGGGUGUGAAAUCUCGGAGCUUAACUCCGAAACUGCAUUCGAUACUGCCGUGCUUGAGGACUGGAGAGGAGACUGGAAUUUACGGUGUAGCGGUGAAAUGCGUAGAUAUCGGGAGGAACACCAGUGGCGAAGGCGGCUCACUGGCCCGGUACUGACGCUGAGGCGCGAAAGCGUGGGGAGCAAACAGG
rnacentral:rRNA from 1 species